UGCCCCAUGGCUGAGUUGGUUACAGCGUCCGACUGUUACGAACACUAAGUGCUCUAGACAAUCGGAAGGUCGUGAGUUCGAGCCUCACUGGGGCAG
rfam:Coprinopsis cinerea okayama7#130 chromosome 2 cont3.2, whole genome shotgun sequence.